UGUAUUUGUUUCUCAAAAAAAAAAAAAAUAAUAACUGUUGUCUACAAUUCCAUCUUCUCCUACUUUUCUGCUCCUUCCCUGUGACAAGAAAGGUUCCAUUCUUAAUUUCUGAUCUUACAUAGUUUAUGCCUUAUUAUUCUUUCUAUAACAUUCACUGUUGUUUAUAUAAUUAUAUUCCAUCUUCCUAAUAAAUCUUCCCUUUUUAUUCUGUCUUUUCUCCAAUCACAGAAUACUAAUUUUCUAUGCCAGAUAAAGCCAUUGGGUUUUCUGCAAAAGGAAUUACUCAAUCAAGGUUAAAGGUUUUCUAAAUUUUCCUAAUAGAACCACAAAAUUUUAAGAUUUGGGGAGAAAUAAAAAGAAGUAGCUUCUUCUUUUGGAAUUUCUUGAGUUGGAGGUAUUUCAAUCUGGCACAGGAGCAUACUAGAGCAAGAUGACAAGUCAAGAUGGUGCUGAACAACCUUGAGAAGACAUGUAUGCAAAAAGAUCCUCAGUGGCUUGGUUGCUUACAACAUUAGACCCAUAAAGACUUUUAAGAGAGAAAGCAUGAAGUCCAUAAACAAAGGGUUAAACUAUUUGACUUUCAGUUUAUUUUAGGAUUUUAAAUGUUAUUUUGAGCUAUGAAUCUAAAUUUUAAUGAUGUUAUGA